GGACUUAUUCAGCAGAACCCCCAAGAAGAUGCAGACUAAGAAAUGCCAAUGCUUUGAUGGGUACAAGGAAGAAAUAGGACUAAGACAAGACAAAUAAUGGAGGACUUACAUGGCAGAGGUAAAUCACCCACAUCUCUUUCUCCAACUCCUUAUGCUCGAUGCUCAGCAUUGAAGCCCUUUACCCCAGGGACAAAUACAAGUUUGACAAAGCCAUCUGAGGAAAAUAAGGCAACAAGGAGAAGUGCAGAGACAAGGUGGGGAAAGCCCCUUACAAAACCAUCAGAUCUCGUGAGAACUCAUCCACAUCACAAGAACAGCAUGAAGAAACGGAACAAGGGGAAUGCAAUCUCACAGGAUGGAAAUAACCUGUGGUGAAUUGUUGCCAUCCAGAUCCACUUUUAAGUCCACAUGGUUCAUUCAUUUUGGACUAGAUCCUGGUACAGCCCAGUGAACUGAUAUUCUUGAAAUCAGGCACAGAGGCUCUGAAGUAAUGCAUUACAUUUGCAUCCAUGAUUUGCUUAAAAUGUUCCAUUUAGCCUUUCCUCCCAGGAAACAAAGCCAGCAGUAUUUGAUUAUUGAAUAGCUCGUUUUGGAUGCUUAGUUUGAGAAGAUUUUAUUAAGAUUAUGGGAAACUUGAAUUUUACAAAAUGAAUCAUGAGUUAUAUUUCAGUUUUGAUUUGUCUCCAAGGGUUGAAAUACAUAGAAGUCUAGGAUACAUUAUAUAUUAGCUCUAUUUUAGCAUGCAUUUAAUGCAAUCACAGGCAAAAAUCAAAUGCUUUAAAGAAAAAGAUUGCAGUUUUAGAAAUGAAGGAUGUGAAAAAGGACGAAUCUAUAUAAAUAAAAGUGAACUUAGAGUAAUAACAUGCAAUAUAGUCUAUGUAGAUAUGCAUAUUUUAAUUGUAUAUUACUAUUUGUCCCAUCACAAUAAUUGGUUUAAACAAUGGUGUAUUUAUAUGUGUAAAACAAAGUUUGGUAUGUGUGUGCACACAUAUACACACAGAAACACACACACACACUUUUCUAAUCAACUAACAUUUAAGAAAUACCACUGAAGGAAAUAUUAAUGACAGAAAGAGCUUUUCUGCACACAGAAAAGCACGCACACUCCUAUGCAGCAUACAAAUAGGUAAGAGUACAUGUUUUCCCUGAAAGAAGAGCAAGAGACCAACGGAAUAAGCCCCUUUACUGGGUUCCCAUAUGGCUGAAUGGUCUCAAUAUCUCAAUCUUUAGAACAUACCUCAGCAUCUCCACAUCUCCUCCUACCUCUGUCCUGUGUUGCUGGGACACAGGGGCAGGAAAUGGAUGCAUCCCUUCCCAUGCACGCCCAAACAGCUCCUCAACUCAAUCUCAGCCCCAUGCCUCUUCUAUUCUUCUGUGAGGAAGUGGCUUCUCAUGACCUAUCCGAGAGCUCAGCACAUGUUAAGUUCUCACACAGGCUUAAGCCAACAUAAUCGUCAACAUUAAAAAGUAACAACAUAAUAUUUGGGCGGAUGAUGUUUUCUGUUCAUAAUCAACAGUGACUUCUCAGAGUGGCCUUUUCUGACCUCUCUAUCUAAAUAGUACUUUACGUUUUCUCUAUCCCCUCCCUAAAUUACUCUGGUUCAUUUUUUGUCAAAGAAUUUUUACUGCUGAAUAGUGUCAUAGACCUAUUCAUUUAUUUAUUUUCUCACUCUUCCCAGUAAAAUAUAAGAUGCGUGGAGAAGAAGUUUGUUUUGUUCCCCUCUGCCAUAUGGGAAAGAACAGUGGUGGAAUUUAGUAGAUGCUCAAUAAAUAUUUGUUGAUUUAAUAAAAAAA
rnacentral:lncRNA from 1 species